GAGGGUAUAGCUCAGUGGUAGAGUACAUGCUUAGCAUGCAUUAGGUCCUGAGUUCAAUCCCUGGUACCUCUA
rnacentral:tRNA from 1 species